rnacentral:lncRNA from 1 species
CUGUUUAAUGCUUUGGUUCUAUCUCUUCCUCUCUCUGCGCUCAUUUGUUCUCAUCCGGUUGGAUUCUCAUUGGUUGCUCCGCCUCUCGCUCCUGUUGAUCGAGUUUCUGUUUGCCGGUGCUGCUGAUAGCUCUGGUCGCUUCUUCCGCUGCGAUGGCGGGUGUGGGAUUCAGAUUCAGAUUCAGAGGAUCGUGUGUUUCAUGAAGACUAGAUGGAAACGAUUGAAAGCGCCAUUGAUUCUGUGUAUUCAUUGGCAAUUGACCAUUUCAAGAAAUAUGAUGGCCGUGUUAUUCACGACGACAGUUUCAAUGACCUACUGCACACACGCAGAGAGCUGAAGGCAAGUCAGUUUUGGAGCGAUAUGCUGGAACAGUCCCGUGACUCACUGCGUACCUCACUAGACAAGCAAGUAGCAUCGCAAGAUCGACUCAAAGCAGAUCUUGUAUCCCUUUGUCGCGCUCAUGGAGAUAUUCUAUCUGUUAGAGUGUCUCUGCCUGACAGUCCAACCACUACGAUUCAGUAUACAGGAUCACAGGUCCCUGCAUCUGGCCUGGAGAAACUCUCCUCGGAGUUGGUUGCCAUUGUCAAGAAGAUGUAUGUGGCCACAUAAAUAUCAUGUGACAUACUCUGAAAUCACCACUUCUUUAGAUUAUCUGCUUUUCGAUGAAAUGUCUAUGUACUGUCGGUUGCUCCAUGCCUUGAUGUAAAUAUGAUGUAACAUAUUCCUAGAUCACAGCUUCUUUAGACUUGUUUCUUUUGCCUGUCAUAUAUAUCUUCUGCCAAUAACCUGAUGCUGAGGAGCAGAAUCAGCAGCAACAACAGAGGCAGGAUCAGUCAGGAGCUAACAAUCAGCACCAAGGAAACAGACACAAUAAACAGAGGAUCAAUGAGGAGGAGCCUACUCAACCUAUGGAUCCUAAAUACAAAGAGUUGAUUUGCUUUAAUUGUGGAGGACCAGGACAUUAUGUGGGAAACUGUGUUAAACCAAAGCUCUGCUUUAUUUGUAGCAUACCUGGCCAUCAUAUGGACAAUUGCCCAGCUUGGGGGAGAGAAAUUCUUAUGGUACAGUUUGUUGAAAGUGCUAAUGGAGGGUUAGGAUUUUUUUCACAUCAAUGUAGAUGAUAAAGCUUCUACAAAAUGGCUAAAUAUGGGCAACUAUGGAGUCAUAGCUGUCACUCAUGGGAACAUAUCUGUCAAGGACCUAGAGGAGUGUAUGGCAAUCACUUGGGAUGCCUCCUGGCCUUAGCAGGUUAGACAAUUGGAGGAGAAAAGUUUUUUGGUAAGAUUCCCUCCUACCAAAAAGGUGACUGACCUGGUAGGACUGCCCUCAAUCAACUUAAGGGAGGGGGGGUGAGAAUGAAAGAGUUACUAUCAAAAUUCUGCCCUGGGAUGGAGAUCUCCCAGAACUGGGUGAACUAACAGAAAUCUGGCUACAGAUCAAUGGAAUCCCACCUAAAUGGUGCACCUGGAAAGUUAUUACACAAGUGUCUAAAUGUUUUGGUCUGCUUCUGGAUGUAGACUGGAAUGAAAUCUUCAAAUCUAUGUAUGCUACAGUUAGGGUUAAAUUGGCUGUGAGAAACCCUGAUAAAAUUCCACCUGCAAGAAUGGUUGUAAUGAAGAAGAAGUUUUAUCUGUUACAGUUUACUGUAGAAUGGGAAGGAGUGGACAUUGACAGAGUGAUGGGUCUGGAAGAUAAAGAUUAAAAUGGAGAUGAUGAUUAUGAAGAUGACAACAUUAUGGAUGAUGAAAUACAAGACUUGGAGAAAAAUAGAGACACUCUGAUGAAGAACCAGGAGAAAUCUGAUCCUAAGGGCACAAAAAUUGUUAAUGGAGGUUCCAAAUCGGCACCUCCAAAAACAAAUUAUUCCCAGGUCACUCAAGCACUCAUUAAUGCUAGCCUGGUUGAAUCAGAAGAUGAGGAAGAGAGUGGUGAUUGUAAUUCAGAUAAUCCUCGGCAUGAACCAUUACACAUAGAAGUUGAUGAUCAGAUGAAGGCACCUCAAAAUCUGGAAGAAGAUUCUGAAAUCUUGUUAGUUACAACCUCUCAGAUACCUGCAGAAGUAAUCCUCACUCAUGAGACACAGGAGAGUUUCCCAACACCAGCAGAAGCUAAGGAAAAGAAUAGGAAGAAGAACAAAUGGGGCCCAGUAGGUCCCACACCUGAUAUUGUCAAUAAACAAAUUAAUAGAAUAAAACAACUUGAAUACAGUAGGUUACAGGCUUUAGCUGAAGAACAACCUGACAUUUUCCUUCCUGCUAGUAUUGAUCCUACAUUAGAGAAUUUCUCAGCACCUAAUUUUACUGAUGAAAAUGUUGAUUGCUUUAACUAUGAUUCCCCUCUUAGUGAUAUUGGACAUGAUAAUGAACAGGAUGACAUUAUCCAUGUUUCAUAUAAACUUAGGAAAGAUAGGAGCUUUAAAUCUAAACAUAAAAAGGAUUAUGAUGCAGUACAUUAUUUGGAACGUUAGGGGCCUUAAUGACCCCAAGAAAGUUAAAAGGGUUUCUGAACUCCUUAGAGUUCAUCAUCUUGAUGUGAUUGCUUUGUCAGAAACCAAGAAAGUGGACUUUAGUUCAUCUUGCUUGGAGGCUUUAGCCAAUUUUAGAGAUUUUGCUUGGAAACACCUGCCAGCUGUUGGUACAGCAGGAGGGAUCCUUUUAAGGAUUAAUUUAGAUAUAUUUGAUGUUAUUAGAUGGGAUAUAGGUAACUUCUUUGUUUCCUGUGAAAUCAAAAACAAAAAUGAUGGUUUUGCUUGGAAAUUUGUGGCUAUAUAUGGCCCUGCAUAUGAUGAGCUGAAACAACAGUUCAUUGAUGAACUAACCUCACUUUGUAGCUCUUGUUCUCUGCCCAUCUUAGUGGGAGGGGAUUUCAAUUUAAUCAGACAAGCUUAGGAUAAAUCAUCUGGUAACAUAAACCAAACAUGGACAGAUAAAUCAAUAAUUGGAUUAAUUCUGCUGCCCUAAUGGAAUUGAAACCUACCAGUAGACAAUUUACUUGGUCAAAUAAUCAAGACAGCCCUGUGAUGGCAGCAAUUGAAGCGAUCCUCCCCCUUACAGGGUUCGAUCUCUGUGCUUACUGUGCUAGUCCCUGGAUCGACUCAGUAGCACACACAGUUUCAUGAUGAAAUAUACAGAAACAAAGGUCAAAAGUACUUUAUUACAUCGCAUCAUUCAGAAUUUAAAUAGUACUUACAACCUCGCAUGACCUCUUGGGUCAGCAUAAAACAAAGACUGUUUCAAUAUAAAAAAACAAUGUUUCUAAACUACUGCAGCGGAAAAGGGUAGAACAAUAAGGGCCACAACUACUCCAAGGUGAGAGCAUGUUGGAAUGUAAGCACAUGACCCAUGACAAAACGACGAACUUCACUCAUCGUCGGAUCCACCUGCAUUGUUAAUUGCAGCCACUACGUGGUCAAUACAUUUGAAUGUAUUGGCAAGUUCACCAGAGUUAUAAAAGACCUACCAAGUACAUGCAUAAUUUGGCUAGGUGGGGUUUGGCUGUUUGCAUAAAAGCAUCAUGGUUAAAUCCUAUCAUUUUUAAACAAAUAGUUUUGAAUUCUAUUGGACACGGGGUAGAAACACCCAUGCUCCUAUUAACCUAGGCACAUUGAGUAGAAACAUCAAUGCUCCUACCCAGUUCAAACCAUUCAUUUUAUUAGGAAAUUGGAAUGAGUGAGACCUUCCUUACAGCCUCAAUAUCUAGUUGCUCAUAAUUGUCCGUAACCGGGGACACGGCUAAGUACUUAGUUUGACACUCUCGAGAGGUGGUACACUUUACCCAUAAGAAAUCGACGUGUUAAUCCCUUGCUGUCCUCCAGGUGGAGUAGCAACGGCAUCGAUUACAGGAAUUUCAGAACAUAUUCCCCCAAACCACCUGAGGGACGCGUUCCAACCUACACUGCUACAUACCGAUGUCACCUCGGAUCCAGGUUCAUAUUUCUUACGUCCAUCCUGGCAGAGCCCAUAAUACCAUGUGGUUGUACUGGAAGCUGCUAAACAGGAAACUAGUCCAGUCUCUGGUUACCCCGGGUGGCAUUCCUCAGUUGUAACGCAGGCGCUCCCAUAGAAAUGGCGAGAUGACUCAUAGAAAUGGAUCCAUAGAAAUGGACCUGACGUCGCAUACAUCUCCACUUCCUCAAAGCAGCCCACACAGGACGGUUCAUUGAAUUACUUGUUUUGCCGUACACUAGGAAAACCAUAUUGUAAUUCAAUAGUAUCACAUUGUAAUAAUACCGCCCUCGUUUAUUAUCAUAGCAUAGUAUUUUACUACUACGAUAGCAAUUGGUGGUAAGGACAAGGCAGGGGUGUCCUAUACUACUAGGAGGAAUCAUAGCUAGCAUAGCAUAGAUACAAUAAUAGUCCUGACAAUGCAACUAAUAAAAUCUAGUGCAUAAUAAAGUAAUAGGUGAAUGAUGAAAGUGAACUUGCCUUGAUAGUAGUUGGUAUUCAGACACUCUUCACAGUACACAGUUCGCUCUCCGAGAAAACUAAACAAUACAAACAAUGCAUACAUAAACACACCAUACAAACAAAAGAAUAUGCAUGCCAUGAUGCAAUGCAAAACAUGUGACAAGAGCUUGGUUUAUUUUAUUUGGGUGAUCUACUGAUCCUAAGCAUAAGUAAUUAAAACAAAUGCAUUAGGGUUUUAAAUAGAAAGGAAAAGGUUAGGGUUUAAACCCUAAAAUAAGGUUUUAUUUGCAUCAGCCAAAUAAAUUAAUUCAACAUAUUUAUUUAUGUGUCCCAUUGGACAGAGGAUAAUAAAAUGAAAUUUUGGGCACUGGUUUCAAUCAAAAAGGACUUCUAAAUAAUUAGUUAUGAUUUAAAUGGCAUUAAACCUUAUUCUGUAAUUUGAAUGUGAUUCAAAUAUUCAAAAUUGAAAUUGGACAGUGCCAAAAGAUUCUACACUUCCUAAGGAUUCCAAAAAGGUGUGGAUCAUCAAAUUUGGCCAAACAGAUUAAAAGAUAUGAUCAUUUGAAGUUACAGAGGCUUUUUUGCAAAAGUGCCAUUUAAUUAUUCCGGGGGAUUAAAAUUAGAUUUUUAUUUUUAUUUUACCGUGCCAUGUGGCGGCUCCUGAUUGGUGCGUACCGGUUCGUUUAAGUGAAAUAAAAAGGAUCUAAUCUGGGCCGUUGAGGACGGAUGGACGGACGAGAUCUCACCUCCGGGAACCUAGGGUUCCGGCGAGCUUCUCCGGCGGCGGCGCGGCACGGGCGGGUGGUUCCGGCGAGGCUGGCACGACGGGGAGGUCAUGGGGAGGAGCGGCACGGCACGGGGAACACGGUGACGCGGUCGGCGCGGGGUCGGGCGGUCGGAGUCCUCGCCUAGGUCGAAGACGAGGUGGCGGCGCGGGCGGAACUCCGACGACGGGCGGCGGAGCUUCGAGCUCGGGCAUCGGGGCGCUGCAGUGGACCAAAAACGAGGGGAUUCACGUCAAAAGAUGCGCGAGAGCGAGAGGGAGGAGAUAGGGUAGGUGGGGGUGGCUCUCGACCUUUAGGUUGCCGGUGACGAGCUCGAGACGGCGGCGGACUCCGACGAGGCUUCGGCGAGAAAUUGCAGCGGCGUGGUCGCGCGAUUGACUGGGGAAGCAAGGGGGAAGAAGAGAGGGGGUCGCGGGGUUUAAAUGGACGCGCUCGGGGCUGCAAAAGGAAGGACGGGAGAGGAGAUUGCGGCGGUGAGCGCGCGGCGGCGAAAACGGCAGGCGGCGCAGCGGACGCGGGCGCCUUCCAAACAAGGAAGACGACCCUGACAGGCGGGCCCCGCCUGUCAGCGGCUCGGUGCGACGUGCGCGAUUUCCGGGCCGGUCGGCUUGGCUCAGGCCAUUUUGAUUUAGCCCGUUCGGCCCAUUUUGGCCGGCCGGUCCGGUUUCCUCUUUUUUUUUCUUUUAGCCCUUUUCUUUUUCUGUUUUUCUUAUUUCUUUGAUAUCUUUUGAUUUUGAACUCCUAAUUGUCCCAAGGAAAUUCCAGAAAAUUUGUAAAAUCAUGUUUUACCAUGAUUCAACUUUUGGGAGUAAUUUCCCCUCAAAAUAAAAUAUAUAAAAAUACAUUUGCCCUAUAAAUGCCUUUAGGGCUAUAUAUCUAUUUAAAUAAAAUACUUUUUCAACUUCAAAUAAUUAUCCAAAAAUUAUGGGAUAGCUUAUAUAUGCAUUAAACCCCUUUUAUACAUAAAACCUAUUGGUUUGAAGAUCCAAGCUCAAAUGGGUGUAAACCCUAAGGUUUAAAUUGAAAUAAAAACUUUUAAAGCCUUUUGAGAUUCAAAUUUGAAUUCAAACAUGCAAUUGUGGCAUGAUGCUUAUGGAUGCAAUGCAUAUGAAAGGUUUUGAAUUUUUGGGAUGUUACGGCAAUUGAUAGAGUUUUUGUCUCCACUUGUUGGGAAUCACAUUUCCCUGGUGCUUUGUUAUCUGCUUUAGCAAGAGUGGCAAGUGACCAUACCCCUUUAUAUUUAGAUUGUGGAGGAAUUACUCUCCCUGUUAGGAAAAUCUUUAGAUUUGAAAAAUGGUGGCUGGAGAUAGAUGAUUGUAAGGAGGCAAUUAUACAGACCUGGAAUUUGGCCUGUCCUUGCCAUACUGCCAUAUAUGGCAAUUUAAGAUAAGAAGGCUCAGAAAAUUGCUGAGAGGCUGGGGAAUAAACAUUGAAGCAGCCCAGAAAAAACUUAAAAAAAACUUAGUGGCAGAAUAUGAAUGUUUAGAUAUCAUGGCUGAAUCUCAACCUCUCUUGCCAUAGGAAAAAGCUAGGAUGAAGACCAUUAGGUCUGAAUUGCAAAAAAUUUGGACAAUGGAGGAGACUAAAGCUAGACAAAGAGCUAGAGAAAGAGACAUACUGGAAGGUGUUAAAAAUACAGCAUACUUCCAUGCUUUAGCUAACGAAAGAAGGAGAAAAAAGAAAAUCACCUCUCUAGAAGAUCCAGAUGGUUUGGUUCAUGAUACUCCACACAUGCUGGAGAUAGCUGUAAACUUUUACAAAGUCCUCUUUGGACAUGAAGAUAGGAUUAAUAUUUCAUUAGAUGAUAAUUUCUGGGAUCCUGAAGACCUUGUAACAGAGACUGAAAAUGAGUUCCUUGACCAGCCUUUUUGCUAAAGAAGAAAUCAAGGGAGCAGUGUUCUCCUCAUAUGUUGAGGGGGCACCAGGGCCUGAUGGUUUUCCUUUCCUUUUCUAUCGGAAAUUUUGGGAAACAAUCAAGACCGAUCUUUUAAAACUCUUCAAAGACUUUGACAAUAACAGGGCUGACCUGUUUAGACUAAAUUUUGCUAUGCUGACCCUAAUCCCUAAGGAACCUGAUGCUACUUCACUUAAGAAGUUUCGGCCCAUUGCUUUAACAAACUGUAGUUUGAAAAUCUUUGCAAAAGCCUGCACCUUGAGGCUGGGAAGUUGUGCUGACCGUCUGAUAUCCAUCAACCAGACAGCCUUCAUUAAAGGCAGAUAUAUUUUAGACAGUGUAGUUACUGCCCAUGAGAUAAUACAUGACAUACAUCAUAAAAAGGAGGGAGGAAUUUUAUUGAAACUUGACUAUGAAAAAGCAUAUGAUGUAUUGGAAUUUUUUGGAACAAAUGUUAACACAAAGGGGUUUUAGCCCCAGCUGGAGGAGGAAGAUUGCAACACUGAUUCAUGGGGGAUCAGUGGGAGUCAGGAUCAAUGAUUCUGAAAGUGAUUACUUUGUGACUGGUAAGGGUCUUAGACAGGGAGACCCUCUUUCCCCAAUCCUUUUCAAUCUAGUAGCAGAUGUGUUUACUAGGAUGCUGUUUAAAGCAGGACACAGAAAUCUUAUAUCAGCGUUGUUGCCAGACUUCUGCCCAGGGGGAAUCCUUAGUCUCCAAUAUGUAGACGACACACUAAUUUUUCUGAAAAAUGAUGUUAAUAUGGUCCAGAACUUGAAAUGGAUACUUACUCUUUAUGAACAGCUGUCAGGAAUGAAAAUUAACUAUCACAAAUCUGAUCUGAUACCAAUGAAUUUAGAAGAAGAAGAGACUAAUAUCUUGGCUCAAAUACUAGGAUGUAAGAAGGGCUCUUUGCCUAUUACUUAUCUAGGUGUUCCUUUGCACCACAGUAAGCUUAGGAAAGAAGACCUUCAACCUGUAAUUGAUAAGGUAAUAAAAAGGGUUGCUGGAUGGAGGGGAAGACUACUCUCCUAUGGGGGAAGAAUUGUGCUCAUUAGAGCCUGUCUUGCUAGUAUUCCCAUCUACUUACUCUCCUUUAUCAAAUUCCCUAACUGGGCUAUUCAGGCUAUUAAUACACAAAUGGCUCAUUGUCUGUGGGAUAAUUAUGAUGGACACCAUAAGUAUCAUUUAGCCAAUUGGGACAUGAUGUCUAUGAAAAAAGAAUUUGGGGGCUUAGGUAUUCCAAACUUAAAAGACUUGAAUGUUACUCUACUUGCUUCCUGGAUACACAGAUACAAUCUAGACUCUAAUAGACUUUGGAAGCAGAUAGGGGAAUUUAAAUAUGAUAGUUCAAACCCCAACAUCUUUGCUUGUGAUGAAAGAGAAGGAUCUACCUUCUGGAAAGGAAUCUUAUGGGCUAGUAGAGCUGCCAAGCUGUGAUACCAGUGGCUGGUAGGAGAUGGAAAAUCUAUAAGAUUUUGGGAAGACCAGUGGUUUGGAGGCUCUAGUUUAGCUAUACAAUUCUGGGACCUGUAUACUAUCUGUAAUGAACAAAUGGCCACUUUGGCUGAAGUGUGGGAUGGGGGAGAAAUCAAACUCUCUUUUAGGAGGAGCUUUGGCCCCAGACUCUUAGAACAGUGGGAUACUAUCUCACAGAUUGUCACUGCUGUAGUUUUUAGCACAGAGAAGGAUCAAAUGAUUUGGAAGUUACAUUCCUCUAGGAUUUACACUUCACAAUCUCUGUAUGCUGUAGUUAACUGCAGGGGAAUUAUGCCUGUUUUUUUUCCUGCUUUAUGGCACAUUCAUGCCCCGCCUAGAGUACAUAUGUUCCUCUGGCUUGUAAGCUACAAUAAAAUCCUCACCCGAGACAAUUUAAGUAAGAGACAGGAAGUGCCUGACAAAACAUGUUUAUUCUGUAAUGAACCAGAAUCAGUCACUCAUUUAUUCUUUGAUUGUGUAGUAGCUCAACUGCUUUGGACUGAACUUGCUGAAAUUAUUCAGAAACCUCCCAUCUUAACGUAAGAAAAUCUAGCUACCUACUGGCUAUGCAACAAGAGGAUGGUGUAAUAAACAUGCUUACUACUGCUGUCUUAUGGACAAUUUGGAAAUUUAGAAAUGAUCUUUUGUUUGCCCAUCAUAUCUGGCUUAAUAUCCAGGUCCUGUGGAGGAGAUCACUGCGCUUAUUAAAGCGCUGGCAACCGCUAUGCCCAAGACGCGACACGUUGAUCUGGGACAAAUGCCUGUUACUGCUGGAGAACAAAGCACUGGAGGCUCCCCGGCUGCGCCGAGCAAGAAACGGCGUACCACAAUUGCAGGCCCUGGGACACCUUCUCUACCUGAACAGAAAGCGCUACUGAAGCUCUACUAAAAACGAGUGAAUACCAUUUUUGAAGAGCAGGAAAAGAGUCUGUGUUUGAUGUAAUUUUCGGUUAUCCGGCCUGUGUGCCAUGUUGGAAACUGCUGGUAGCAGAUAGCUGUUGUGUUGUUUUGGUUUUGUAACCAGGAGCUUAACUGUCACAACUGGGGGUUUCCUCUCGUUUUGAGGGGGAACCGGGCAAUAAAAUGCCUUUCAUCUAAAAAAAAUAACCUGAUGCUGAAGAUGUCACAUAUGUCCGUAAGUUUUUGAUGUUCUGUCAGAUAUGAUGUGUACAGUUUGUUUUUUCAGAUGUAAUAUGUCCCUCUGAGAACAUAUAAUAUAUAUGGUAUUCUGCU